GAUGAACGCUGGCGGCGUGCUUAACACAUGCAAGUCGAACGAGAAGUGAAGACGGAAACCUUCGGGCGGAAGGCUUUAUUUCGAGUGGCGGACGGGUGAGUAACGCGUGGGUAACCUGCCUCAUACAGGGGGAUAACAGUUGGAAACGACUGUUAAUACCGCAUACGACCACAGCACCGCAUGGUGCGGGGGUAAAAACUCCGGUGGUAUGAGAUGGACCCGCGUUCGAUUAGCCAGUUGGCGGGGUAACGGCCCACCAAAGCGACGAUCGAUAGCCGAUCUGAGAGGAUGACCGGCCACAUUGGGACUGAGACACGGCCCAAACUCCUACGGGAGGCAGCAGUGGGGAAUAUUGCACAAUGGGGGAAACCCUGAUGCAGCGACGCCGCGUGAGUGAAGAAGUAUUUCGGUAUGUAAAGCUCUAUCAGCAGGGAAGAAAAUGACGGUACCUGAGUAAGAAGCCCCGGCUAACUACGUG
rnacentral:rRNA from 1 species